rnacentral:misc_RNA from 1 species
UAUACCCUCGCUCCUCAUUCAUCCUUUGAUGAGUGCCGGCCUGAACUCGUUUCAUGUGCCUCAGGAGCGGAUAUGGCUUUCCCAGUCCUAUUUGAUUAGAGCUGGAUCAGCUGAAGCACAGAGGCUAAUCAGGGACCCGCUAAGGGCCGCAACUGGGUAGGCAUUAACCACAUGCUACAUCUAGUUGUUGGUCUGGGACACUGUGUUGGCCCUCCAACAGGAACCAAUAACCCUUUAUUUU